ensembl:lncRNA
UGGCUGUGCAUUCAUUUUAUUUUGUAUAGUCCAAAAUCACAGAUUACAAAUUACAGAGGGCUUUACAGUCUGUACACAUGCCUCACAUUGGCACAGGAAAAACUCCCCAACAAAAAUGAAAAACCCUUCCAUGGGGAAAAAAGGGAUGAAACCUUAGUGAGAAUGUCAGAGAAGGAUCCCACUCCCGGGAUGGACAGACUACAAUGGAUGAUGUGUACAGAAUGAACAAAGUAAAAGAUGUAUAAUACAAUCAAUUCCUAUAACAGAAAUGAUUCAAAUAGUUGCGAGUAGUAAGCAGGCGCAUGGCAGGACCACUGCAGGGACAACCACCAUCAGAUAGAACCACCAUCCAGAGAAACCUGUGGUGGGUGGGGGCACAAAGACUUCAGGAAAGGUAAUGUUGGUUUAUUAUGACAGUAAUAGUAAUAUGAUAGAUAUUUAAAAUAAUAAUGAUAAUGAACAAUUUUGUAUAAUUCUAUAUUUGCUGUUGUUUAGCCCUUCAAAUCAAAUAUAGUGGAACCAUAGGUGACAUUUUUGUAAAACAGAAAAAGCACUUUCCAAGACCUUUUUUCUGAGUAGUUUAAUUUAGAAACCGUUUUCAUUCUUUGGUACUACAAGAAUGAAGCGUUUACAUUUAGUCACAAAAACAAGAGCAGAACAAUUAUUUUGGAGGGCAGUGGAAUUGCUUAAAGGCUAAAAACAGCAACAAACGUGGAUUGACACAGAAUAUUUUUCCGAUAAAUACAUUUCUCUGCCAUUAUAUACUAUUUGAAAGGUUGGAGCACACAAGUCUGAAAAGGUCCCACCAUGUUCAAUACACAUUGUGGGUCUGCUCAUAAAUACCAGAAACAUGCACAGAAAUGCCCAAAAUAAUAUACUCAAAUUCAAGCUCCAUUUUACAAAAUCGAUGGAGGAAAAAUAAGCAUUUCUUCUACCAACAGCCCGAACUCCACAUGAAGGCUUCAUACUUCAUUUUUCACCUCCUACCAUUGAAUCGAUCAACGAGACAUUUUAAUCCAUUACCAUGUUUGUGUGUGUCUUGUUUAACUUCCCAUUUUUCAGUUGAAUCCCAGUGAAGUGAGUGAACUGAUGUGAAAGUGCUCGGGACCACUGACUGUGCCAGCGGCUGUACACACAAAGACCAGCUCUGUGUUGAUCUCAACAUCUCAGGAUGCAUUUCCUUUCACUCUUCUGGACGGGCACAGAUGUGGUCUGGCUACAGCUCUCUAGAAGUCUCUAAAAUGAUGCUAAUCAUCUUUGGUUAGGCAACUCCAAUGAAACUGUCAAACCAGGCUGAUAAAAUAUGAAUCAAAAUUCAGUUGAUAAUUUCUCUCCGAAAACGUUCUAAGAAUUACUUUAGUUUACUGUUUUACUGUAGAAUCAGAACGUUUGUUCUAGUCUGUUGGAGGUGCUUUGUCUGCUAAUAUUCAAAAGUAUGAUCCCUUCAAUGACAAUUGAAUUGUGAAGAUUUGACCAGAAAUCACAUAUGGAGUAAGUUCUAAAACGGCAUUUAUAAAGUAAUAUGUCUGUGAAAUGGACCUAACCCCUUUUCAUCAACUUGUAUCACAAAUUAUGAGGCAUGAUGAAAUAUGUUGGGUUCUAGCCGGGUCUCCUGAAGAAAGAGUGCAAGCAUCACAGUGCUGUCAAAAUUCACACAACGCUGUUAGAGGCGUCUGUGAUCUGCUUCAGUCAGUUAGCCCGUCUGUCAGUAGGAAAACAGUCAUCAUGUCAGCCAGUUAGACAUUUUCCCAAGCAUUUGGAGUCGACGCUGCACAUAAUGGUAAGCAGAAACUGGUUACCGGUUCGAGUUUUUGGUAAUGGACCCACACCCGCUCAAACGGUUCUCCAAUCACCGGAAUCGGGUGAAGUGGCACACGAGGAACAGGUUUGUUCACUUUCCCUGUAAGUUGGCACACAUGACAGGUUUUGCAGUAUUGCACAAUGUCAGAUUUUAAUCCUGGCCAGAAGAAAUGUCAGAGGACUCUGUUGUAUCUUUUAGUUACCCCUAAAUGUACGGACCAUGCAGGGUUAUGAGCCAGUGACAGCACUUGCUGUCGCAUUGGUGACGGAACCACUACCUGCCAAACUGUAUCCCAGUGCUCACCCGUUUUAUGCGCAGUCCAUUUAUGCAUUAAAACACCAGCGUCCACAAGUCUCUCUGGUGUGAUGGAUGACAACACAUCACCUAACUGGGGAUUGACUCCGCAUCCCCCUUUCACAGCCUGCACAGAAGGUAAUUUCUCUGCUUUAUGCUCUACCUCCACAGUUUCAACCUGUUCAAAAAUAGACAAAUUCACUGUAUCCCCUGCAUGCGAGCUUGUGCCCUUGCUAAAACACAUGCAGGGAACCCUUGAGGGUAUUUCUGAACCAAGACAAUGUCAGAACCAUUAGGUUGUGGCCUGUCUGUUACUUCUGGUACUGGAGACACCUUACCUCCAGCAAUGUCGUUUCCUAGUAAUAGUGCUACCCCUUCCACUGCUAGCGUAAGCACCACCCCAACACGGACCAACCUAAAACUAAAUCAGAAUGCACAUGAACCCAGUGUAAAGGCACAGAAAUUGGGUUGGCUUCAAUGCCACACAAAAGGAUGUGUGAACCACAUCAUGUCUGGUCAGACCAGGGCAACACAUCUGCAAGGAUAAGAUUAAGCCGCACCAGUGUCACGUAGGAUUUUAAUUUCUCUCUGGUCUUCAGUUCUCCCUGUGCAUGAAACACUCCCGACAGACACAAACGGAGCAUACACCAGGUCUGGUUUUCCUGCGAAAGCCUCGCUAGCACUUCUAGCUUGCUGGUAAGAAACAGACUGAGUUAAACCAACACUCUUACGGGACAGCGGGGGUGACUUCUUGUUCUUGAGUAAGAGACAAUCUGCGAUUAAAUGGCCUUUCUGGUGGCAAUAAAAAGAUUCCCUGUCCUCUUUCCUUGGAACAGUAGGAGGGUCUGAAGAGCGAGAUGCACCAGCUGCGGGUGAAACGGAUGUCCUGCUCUGACUGGACGCUGUAAACUGUUUUAUGCGUUAAGGCAUAUUCAUCGGCCAGGACUGCUGCCUGACUCAGCGUCGCCACUUUGUUUUCACUAAGAUGCACAAUUCUUUCAGGUAAGUGGUUCUUAAAAUCCUCCAGCACUGUUACUGUUUUUCUUGUAAUUUCUAAAUCGUUGUCUAUAAGCUUGUGGCACUAGCUCAUAGGCACGCAGCACGGUGGCUU